GAUGAACGCUGGCGGCGUGCUUAAUACAUGCAAGUCGAACGGAAAGGCCAUGAUCUUGCGGGGUGCUCGAGAGGCGAACGGGUGAGUAACACGCGAGUAACCUGCCCCUGUAUUAGGGAUAACUCCUGGAAAAAGGGGCUAAUAUCGGAUAGGAGCUACUGCUGCACGGUGGGGGUUGGAAAGAGUCGGUGGUUGGGGAUGGACUAGCGGCUUAUCCGCUUCUUGGUGGGGUAGUGGCUUACCAAGGCUGUGACGGGUAGCCGGCCUGAGCGGAUGAACGGCCACGUGUCGACUGGGAGGCAGCCCUGGCGCCUACGGGAGGCAGCAGGGGAGAAUAAUGCACAAAGGGCGGAAGACUGAUGCAGCAACGCCGCGUGCAGGAUUACGGUCUUCGGGAUGUAAACCGCUUUCACCUGUGACGAAGCGUGAGUGGCGGUAAUGGCUGAAGAAGAACCGUCUAACUACG
rnacentral:rRNA from 1 species